rnacentral:rRNA from 1 species
UGGUGGGUAGUUUGACUGGGGCGGUCUCCUCCUAAAGAGUAACGGAGGAGCACGAAGGUUAGCUAAUCCUGGUCGGACAUCAGGAGGUUAGUGCAAAGGCAUAAGCUAGCUUGACUGCGAGAGUGACGGCUCGAGCAGGUGCGAAAGCAGGUCUUAGUGAUCCGGUGGUUCUGAAUGGAAGGGCCAUCGCUCAACGGAUAAAAGGUACUCCGGGGAUAACAGGCUGAUACCGCCCAAGAGUUCAUAUCGACGGCGGUGUUUGGCACCUCGAUGUCGGCUCAUCACAUCCUGGGGCUGAAGUAGGUCCCAAGGGUAUGGCUGUUCGCCAUUUAAAGUGGUACGCGAGCUGGGUUUAGAACGUCGUGAGACAGUUCGGUCCCUAUCUGCCGUGGGCGCUGGAGAAUUGAGGGGGGCUGCUCCUAGUACGAGAGGACCGGAGUGGACGCAUCACUGGUGUUCGGGUUGUCAUGCCAAUGGCAUUGCCCGGUAGCUAAAUGCGGAAGAGAUAAGUGCUGAAAGCA